rnacentral:rRNA from 1 species
AGCGAACGUUAGCGGCGGGCCUAACACAUGCAAGUCGAGCGAGAAAGUGGCUUCGGCCAUCAGUAAAGCGGCGGACGGGUGAGUAACACGUAGGUAAUCUUCCCUUGAGCGGGGGGACAACGUUUCGAAAGGGAACGCUAAUACCGCAUAAGUUUUCAGGAACUCUGGUUCUUGGAAGAAAGCUAGGUCGCAAGAUCCGGCACUCGAGGAGGAGCCUGCGUCGCAUCAGCUAGUUGGUGGGGAAUGGCCUACCAAGGCGAAGACGCGUAGCUGGUCUGAGAGGAUGAUCAGCCACACUGGGACUGAGACACGGCCCAGACUCCGUACGGGAGGCAGCAGUGGGGAAUA